rnacentral:rRNA from 1 species
UACGUAGGGGGCAAGCGUUGUCCGGAAUCAUUGGGCGUAAAGCGCGUGUAGGCGGCCAGAAAAGUCCGCUGUGAAAACUCGAGGCUCAACUUCGAGCUGUCGGUGGAAACUUUCUGGCUAGAGUCCGGAAGAGGAGACUGGAAUUCAUGGUGUAGCAGUGAAAUGCGUAGAGAUCAUGAGGAAGACCAGUGGCGAAGGCGGGUCUCUGGACAGUUCCUGACACUGAGGCACGAAGGCCAGGGGAGCAAACGGG